rnacentral:rRNA from 1 species
CCUACGGGAGGCAGCAGUAGGGAAUCUUCCACAAUGGACGAAAGUCUGAUGGAGCAACGCCGCGUGAGUGAAGAAGUAAUUCGUUAUGUAAAGCUCUAUCAGCAGGGAAGAAAAUGACGGUACCUGAGUAAGAAGCCCCGGCUAACUACGUGCCAGCAGCCGCGGUAAUACGUAGGGGGCAAGCGUUAUCCGGAUUUACUGGGUGUAAAGGGAGCGUAGGCGGCAGUGCAAGUCUGGAGUGAAAGGCGGGGGCGCAACCCCCGGACUGCUCUGGAAACUGUACGGCUGGAGUGCAGGAGAGGUAAGUGGAAUUCCUAGUGUAGCGGUGAAAUGCGUAGAUAUUAGGAGGAACACCAGUGGCGAAGGCGGCUUACUGGACUGUAACUGACGUUGAGGCUCGAAAGCGUGGGGAGCAAACAGGAUUAGAUACCCCAGUAGUC